CCUGGUUACACACUGCUCACCUGCUGCAAAUCCUGCCCACAAAAUGGCACCAGAGGGGACAUUCUGAGCAGGGGUUCAUGAGCACCAGCCUGGGAGGAGAUCUCAGGGAGCAACCUUGGGCCUGGGAAGCACGGAGAGAGCAGGGGUGGGAUGUGCAGCUGGCUCCUGAUCCCACUGUGAACUCAUCACCUGGGGCUGCCUCGAGUGCUGCUCCUGCUGCCCUGUGCACUCCAGGAAAUGUAAGGGAGAAUUCAAAUAAAUCUGAAAGACAAGUUAAA